UCGUCCACUUGGUCCUGAGUCGCGGAAGAGGCAGCAGCGCCGAUCCAGUAGUCUAGCCCCCCGGUGUGUUUAGUGACGUGUCCAACCUUAGCUUAGCUAGUAGUUUGUGCGGUCCGAUUCUGUGUGCGAAGAGGAAUUAAAAGAGUCGGAACCAACCGCCUCCUACCAGCUCGUGCUCGCCACACCGCCACCAAAAGCCUUAGCCGCCCUGCUGACCCCGCGGUCUCAGCGAUCGAGCCCCGGAAGUCCCACUGGGAUCCGGAAGGGAGACCACACGCUACACGUGGCUCCAGGGAGAGCCAUCCAUCGCGCCAGCCGUUCCUGUCCAGCCGCUGGUCCAGAUUC